rnacentral:sRNA from 1 species
GCUAAACUAAACUAGGCUGUACUUCACAAGUCUCAGCUUCUCACAACUGAUAUUUAAAGCCAGCCUCAAUUUGUACGACAGAGGGGCCUGAGACAGGCAAAGGAUCCCCACGCUCAAUCUUACGAUUCUGGCGACGGAGAUAAAGAGAUACGAUGUCCAAAUGUUGGGGGUGUUACAAACAGCGUUGAUACUGUGGCACUUAAUCAGCAAGUUCUCCUGUGGGACUUUGAGGUCUAACCUACAUGGCAAUGGCAAUGGCACGCUUGACCGCAGGGCCUGUGAUGGAUGAACUGAUCCAGGACAGCACACAGCAGGUUGCACCAUAAAAUGAGGAAGGAAGAAGACACAUAGCAACGUAUCGUGGAGCAACUUUUGUAGUCGAUAUAGCGAUGAUAUUGGCGAUAAUGGUGAUAAAGAAAGGACAAAUGAUAUGAAGUGUUCGUUCAUUUUUCUUAUCCGAAUGCCAACCGAUUAUCAAAAUGGAAAAGCAACAGAGGACGUAAGGAGGGCAAGUGAUGGCGAGCGUCACAGUGCGGUUGAAACCAAGGCCAG